rnacentral:rRNA from 1 species
UUAAACUGGUAGCACGGGAGCAAUCCUGGUGGCUAAUGGCGAACGGGUGAGUAAUAUACUCGGAACGUGCCCCAGAUCGUCGGGGGAUAACGCAGCGCGAACAGCUGUGCUAUAUACCUGGAUACGAUCUACGGAUGAAAGCGGGGUGAUCGCAAGACCUCGCGCGAUUUGGAGCAGUGCCGAUAUCAAGAUUAUCUACGUUGGUGCGGGUAAAGAGCCCACCAAGGCGACGGAUCUGUAGCUGGUCUGAUAGGACGAUCGCAGCCACGACGUGGAACUGAGGACACAGUGUCCACACUCCUAACGGGAGGCAGCAGUGGGAGAAUUUUAGGACAAUGGGCGCAAGCCUGAUCCAGCAAUGCCGCGUGCAGGAUGAAGGCCUUCGGGUUGUAAACUGCUUUUGUACGGAACGAAACGGUGAGCUCUAAUAAAGUUUGCUAAUGACGGUACCGUAAGAAUAAGCACCGGCUAACUACGUGCCAGCAGCCGCGGUAAUACGUAGGGUGCGAGCGUUAUCGGAAUUACUGGGCGUAAAGCCGUGCGCACGCGGUUAUGUAAGACAGAUGUGACAUCCCCGGGCUCAACCUGGGACCUGCAUUUUGUGACUGCAUAGCCUCAGAGUACCGGUACAGGGGGAUGGAAUUCCGGGUGUAGCAGUGAAAUGGCGCUAAAAUUAUGCGGGAGGGAACCAACCGAAUUGCGAAUGGGCAAUCCCCUUGAGACCUUGUACUGGCAACGCUCCAUGCACGAAAAGCAGUUUGGGACGCACAACAGGAUUCCGACUCCCGGUCUCCAAGCCCUCAAAAACGUCAACUGGGUGUGAGGGGCUUUCAUGACC